rnacentral:ncRNA from 1 species
GUCAAGUGAUUCCGCGCCGACAAUGUAACGGGGCUCAAGCACGCCACCGAAGUUGUGGCAUUGACAUUAUUGGUAGGCCUUCGUGGUCCAGCCGUGUUGAUGGGUAGGAGAGCGUCGUGUGGCGAGUGAAGCGGCGGAGUGAUCCAGUCGUGGAUGCCACACGAGUGAGAAUGCAGGCAUGAGUAGCGAAAGACGGGUGAGAAACCCGUCCUCCGGAAGACCAAGGGUUCCAGGGUCAAGCUAAUCUGCCCUGGGUAAGUCGGGACCUAAGGCGAGGCCGACAGGCGUAGUCGAUGGACAACGGGUUGAUAUUCCCGUACCGGCGAAGAACCGUCAAACGCUGAUCCAGGAGUGCUAAGUAUCUGAAUCCCAGUCACUGAUCCCUUCGGGGUGACGGUCUGGGCCUAGCGCACGACCCCAUUCUGGUGCGGUUAGCGUAUUAACAGGUGUGACGCAGGAAGGUAGCCCAAGCCAGGCGAUGGUUGUCCUGGUGCAAGUGCGUAGGCCGAGCGGUAGGCAAAUCCGCCGUUCACAUAGGCUGAGACACGAUGCGGAUAAAAAGUGGGUGAUCCUAUGCUGCCAAGAAAAG